UACGUAGGGUGCGAGCGUUGUCCGGAAUUAUUGGGCGUAAAGAGCUUGUAGGCGGUUUGUCGCGUCUGCCGUGAAAAUCCGAGGCUCAACCUCGGACUUGCGGUGGGUACGGGCAGACUAGAGUGUGGUAGGGGAGACUGGAAUUCCUGGUGUAGCGGUGAAAUGCGCAGAUAUCAGGAGGAACACCGAUGGCGAAGGCGGCAUCCUGGACCAACACUGACACUGAGGAGCGAAAGCCAGGGGAGCAAACGGG
rnacentral:rRNA from 1 species